GACGAACGCUGGCGGCGUGCCUAAUACAUGCAAGUAGAACGCACAGUUUAUACCGUAGCUUGCUACACCAUAGACUGUGAGUUGCGAACGGGUGAGUAACGCGUAGGUAACCUGCCUGGUAGCGGGGGAUAACUAUUGGAAACGAUAGCUAAUACCGCAUAAUAUUGAUUAUUGCAUGAUAAUUGAUUGAAAGAUGCUAUUGCAUCACUACCAGAUGGACCUGCGUUGUAUUAGCUAGUAGGUAAGGUAACGGCUCACCUAGGCGACGAUACAUAGCCGACCUGAGAGGGUGCUCGGCCACCCUGGGACUGGGACACGGCCCAGACUCCUACGGGAGGCAGCAGUAGGGAAUCUUCGGCCAUGGACGAAAGUCUGACCGAGCAACGCCGCGUGAGUGCAGAAGGUUUUCGGAUCGUAAAGCUCUGUUGUAAGAGAAGAACGGGUGUGAGAGUGGAAAGUUCACACUGUGACGGUAUCUUACCAGAAAGGGACGGCUAACUACGUG
rnacentral:rRNA from 1 species